rnacentral:lncRNA from 1 species
CGCCUGCCGGGGAGGGGCAGCGCGGACGGGCGAGCGCCGCGUGCGGGAGAGCGAAGGCUGCAGCGCGCCCGGCAGCCGGGAUGCAGCGGCGCCGCCCAAGCCUGGGGCGCAGGGGUCGGGGCACACGGGGAUAGGCCCGACGCGGGGCCGAAGGAAGGGUGGUCUUUCCCGCAGAGUUGCCGCUGGAGGACCGAAAGUUUUGCAGGCAGCCCUUGCUUCCAGCUUGUCGCUCUCUCCCCGCGUCCCUGUCGCCCAACGCGAGGCGCCCCCGCUGGGGUCCCGACGGCUUGGUGGGGAGGAGCCGUGAGGGGUUGCGCCCCCCACCCCCACCCGAGCCAGGGAAGGGACCCUGGUGACCUCGCCUCCCAGCCCUCACCCCCGUCACCCCUUUCUUCUCUUUCCUGGAGGACUUUGGACCAUGGAGAUUCUGCAGUUGUUGCUCUAGGAGCUGAAACCAGUGGGUAGAUGUCGUUCUGAAACGCAGUUCUUCUUUUUGUAAAGGUGUGUCCUGAGGAACCUCAGAUUUGAAAGAAGAGUGAAUGGAAGUCAAAUGUGGAAACCACUCAAAUGUCCAUCAACUGAUGAAUGAAUAAACAAAUCAUGGUAUAUCCAUACAAGGAAUAUUAUUCACCCAUAAAAAGGAAUGAAGUCUUAAUACACCUACAACUGGAUGAACAUUGAAAACAUUAUGCUAUCCAUUCUGCUUCAGACCGGAAAGGAGAAACAGUCUAAACUGCAUGAAAGUCCUGGUACUGCUGUAUCUCGUACUAUAAGUUCAGUUUUCUCCCUUCACCUGAGGGUAAGUUGAAGAAUAACUUCAUAAGCCAGGGAGAGAUACGUUUGGAUCAGGAGUUAGUGAUAACAGAUUGUGAGAUCCAUGAGAGCCCAGAAAAUAUCUUAGGAUCCCUAGUGCUUAGCACAGAGCUUGGCAUAUGGAGGUGCUGUGUGAAACAGGCUAGAGGCACAUUUCCUCUGCUUGACAGUUCUAUCCUAAGCUUAACUACUCUUUGAAUGUGAAGGGGAAAGUAUUCCCAUAUCCCCAGCUCUUUGAGCAGAUGAUUAGCACUCUGGCUAAGUUGGCUAAAGUGCAAUUUUGGAAAGAGAAGUUCCCAUUGGAUCCUACCUCACACCUUAAGGAACUGAUAUGGAAGGAAGUACUGGGA